rnacentral:lncRNA from 1 species
ACAGAGGACAGCCCCUGAAGGCAUAAGCAGGAAGGGCAUAAUGCUUUCCAAAAGAGAAAACUACAUGGACUUUACUGACUCAUCACUGAGUUCUGAGAUCACUGACACUUACACAUGUGUCCACGCUGUUGUGAGUCAUGGGGAAAAAUGGAGGAGCAAAAUGACCAAGUGGCAGGGUCUGUAAGAGUCUCUCACUGUAGGGAUGGGCUGCCCUGAGGAGACACUGCCCAGGCCUGGGUGCCCCGGGCCAAAGUCCUGACCCUUGCAGGGCUGUGUCCUGUGGAUGACAUGUGGCACUGGACUGCUCACUGACAGGUCUCACAUACAGGUCAUGCUGAUGCAAGAGGGAGGUUCCCAUGGUCUUGGGCAGCUCUGCCCCUGUGGCUUUGCAGGAUACAGCCUCCUUCCAGCUGCUUUCAUGGUCUGGCAUUGAGUGACUGUGGCUUUUCCAGGCUCACGGUGCAAGCUGCCAGUGGAUCUACCAUUCUGGGGUUGGAAGAUGGUGGCCCUCUUCUCACUGCUCCACCAGGAAGUGCCCCAGUGGGGACUCUAUGUGGGGGCUCUGACCCCACAUUUCCCUUCUGCACUGCCCUGGCAGAGGUUCUCCAUGAGGGCCCCGCCCCUACAGCAACGUUUUGCAUGGGCAUCCAGGCAUUUCCAUAUGUCUUCUGAAAUCCAGGUGGAGGUUCCCAAACCUCAGUUCUUGACUUCUG